GGUUAUUCAACAGGGGGCCAAUUCAAAGACGCGACACUCAAAACAGGUAUGUGUCUGGCAACUGUCGAGUUUCAAAGAACUGAAUUCCCUCCGACUUAUUUUUCGUCGUCUGAUGAAUCGACCUUCGUGAUGAACGAUUUUCAUCAUGGCCACAGACACUGCCUUGGAUGUGAGGGAGGAAAUGACAGAAUUCCGCCUCUGUCCACCAUUUCCAGUGACGUGGUUGGAUACGCAUCUUGGUUCCUUUGAAAUUACAGAGAUAUUAGUAAGAAGAAGCUUUUCUUCGUCAGGUGAGGCCGGUUGAAGAUUUAUAGUGUCAUUGUAUCUUAUACAUCACAGAGAGCAAUGUGUCUGUAAUACCCGUGGUGCUUGUGCUUUUUAAAAGAAAUGUUCUAAGUGUUA